UACAGAGGUGGCAAGCGUUGUUCGGAAUUAUUGGGCGUAAAGGGCGCGUAGGCGGCCCGUCAAGUCCCGUGUGAAAGCCCCCGGCUCAACCGGGGAACUGCACGGGAAACUAGCAGGCUUGAGUUCGGGAGAGGGAAGCGGAAUUUCGGGUGUAGCGGUGAAAUGCGCAGAUAUCCGAAGGAACACCGGUGGCGAAGGCGGCGUCCUGGACCGACACUGACGCUGAGGCGCGAAAGCCAGGGGAGCAAACGGG
rnacentral:rRNA from 1 species